rnacentral:rRNA from 1 species
AGUGAACGCUGGCGGUAGGCCUAACACAUGCAAGUCGAACGGCAGCACAGUAAGAGCUUGCUCUUACGGGUGGCGAGUGGCGGACGGGUGAGGAAUACAUCGGAAUCUACUUUUUCGUGGGGGAUAACGUAGGGAAACUUACGCUAAUACCGCAUACGACCUACGGGUGAAAGCAGGGGAUCGUCGGACCUUGCGCGAUUGAACGAGCCGAUGUCGGAUUAGCUAGUUGGCGGGGGAAAGGCCCACCAAGGCGGCGAUCCGUAGCUGGUCUGAGAGGAUGAUCAGCCACCCUGGAACUGAGACACGGUCCAGACUCCUACGGGAGGCCGCAGUGGGGAAUAUUGGACAAUGGGCGCAAGCCUGAUCCAGCCAUACCGCGUGGGUGAAGAAGGCCUUCGGGUUGUAAAGCCCUUUUGUUGGGAAAGAAAAGCAGCAGGUUAAUACCCCGCUGUUCUGACGGUACCCAAAGAAUAAGCACCGGCUAACUUCGUG